CCUACGGGUGGCUGCAGUAAGGAAUAUUGGGCAAUGGAGGCAACUCUGACCCAGCCAUGCCGCGUGAAGGAUGACGGCCCUAUGGGUUGUAAACUUCUUUUAUACGGGAAUAAACCCGGGUACGUGUACCCGGCUGAAUGUACCGUAAGAAUAAGGAUCGGCUAACUCCGUGCCAGCAGCCGCGGUAAUACGGAGGAUCCAAGCGUUAUCCGGUUUCAUGGGGUUUAAAGCGGGCUUGUACGGCUUUGGUGAAAUCCUACAGCUUAACUGUAGAACUGCCGUUGAUACUGCAAGUCUUGAGUACAUUUGAGGUGGGCGGAAUGUGUCAUGUAGCGGUGAAAUGCUUAGAUAUGACACGGAACACCAAUUGCGAAGGCAGCUCACAAAACUGUAACUGACGCUGAGGCACGACAGCGUGGGGAUCAAACAGGAUUAGAUACCCUUGUAGUC
rnacentral:rRNA from 1 species